CUGCGGACAGCAUGACCGGGCUGUGCCUCUCUUGCCUGCUCUGGCCCCAGGACCUGGAGGCCCCUCCAGCUCACACCUUCAAGAUGACAAGCUUCAAGAAAGUGAAGGCAUGCGGGAUCUGCCGGCAGGCCAUCACGCGCCAGGGCAGCACCUGCAGAGGAUGCAAGCUCUCCUGCCACACCAAGUGCCAAGCCAAGG